rnacentral:rRNA from 1 species
AUGCCGGUGCUAAGCAGCAGGGAGAGGGUGGAGAUGGUGACCAUGCUGGAGGAACUAAUCGAGAAGCUUUGGUGGGAGCAACAGGAGGCCCUGGCGUUGUCGCCGCACCACUUCGCCAGCCCAGAGACCGACUGGGCCAGUCUCGAGCGCUGCUAUGCACGAUUCUGUCCCGCCGCGGGUCGUCGCCUCCCCAGCCACCGGAGCCGCCCCGCCGCGCCCGUGGAACUGCAGUACUUCUUCCCCGUCUUCCACUUGGGCUCUAACUACGGCCUCCGCUUUGUGCACUCGGACGCAAUCGCAGCCCCACCAUUGCUAGCCUCGCCUCCCACCAGCGGAGGAUUACAGGCCUUUUCUACCACAGUGUUAUCCCUCGGCGUCAUUCUCAACAAGCACCAGGACAUGGCUUUGUUUCUGCCAAACCAAAUCAAAGGCAGGUGCUUUGUUUAUCAAGUGAAGUUCACCUUCAAAUUUGUAUUUUUCGGUUUUUCCUUCUAUACUAAAUGUGUUUCUGAAAGAGGAUGUCAACAGAGCAUACAGAAGGAGAGAGCAGCAGCGAGAGAGGAGAAAAGGAUGACCUCGGUUUUGGGGACUUGGUUUUGUGAAUCGACAAGAUAUUUGCUUGCAGAACCACCAGAGCUGAACCUUGUAGAAUCGGGAGAGGAAGGAAAGAGAGGAGGAAGCAUAAUCUUGGGAGUAAGGAAGAUGCUGACAGGAAAAGGUAGACAACAUCCAGGAAAAGGUAGACUCGGCUCCUCAUCUCAUGCUUCUAUGAAUUUCUACUUGCUAAAUCUAGCAGAUGCUUCUCUGAAUUUCUACAACCUAAGUUUAGUACAUGCUUCUCUGAAUGUUGGCCUGCCAAUUGCUAUUGUAUUGCAGUCUUGA